rnacentral:rRNA from 1 species
AGAGUUUGAUCAUGGCUCAGGACAACGCUGGCGGCGUGCUUAACACAUGCAAGUCGAACGGGCAGUGGCGGACGGGUGAGUAACGCGUGGAUAACCUGCCCAUCAGACAGGGAUAACACCGGGAAACUGGUGCUAAUACCGGAUAAUCCUUACGUAGAAGUAUUCACUGCUGAUGGAUGGGUCCGCGUCCCAUUAGCUAGUUGGCAGGGUAAAAGCCUACCAAGGCGACGAUCAGUAGCUGGUCUGAGAGGAUGAUCAGCCACACUGGAACUGGAAACGGUCCAGACUCCUACGGGGGGCAGCAGUAAGGGAUAUUGCACAAUGGGGGAAACCCUGAUGCAGCAACGCCGCGUGAGCGAGGUUCGUUGAGCUCUUUUCUGUGGGGGAAACCGCAGGAACAAGUCUCGGCAACUACGUGCCAGCAGCCGCGGUAACACGUAGGAGACGAGCGUUAUCCGGAUUCACUGGGCGUAAAGGGCAAGUAGGCGGUUGCAUAAGUUGGGCGUGACAAUCUCUGGCUUAACUAGGGAAGGACGUUCAAAACUAGGCAACUAGAGGGCAGGAGAGGAAAGCGGAAUUCCUAGUGUAGCGGUGGAAUGCUCAGAUACUAGGAGGAACACCGGUGGCGAAGGCGGCUUUCUGGUCUCACCUGACGCUGAGAGGCGAAAGCUAGGGUAGCGAACGGGCUUAGAUACCCCGGUAGUCCUAGCUGUAAACGGUGGAUACUGGGUAUUGGGGGCUAACAGCCUUCAGUGCCGAAGCAAACGCGUUAAGUAUCCCGCCUGGGGACUACGGCCGCAAGGUUAAAACUCAAAGGAAUUGACGGGGCCCGCACAAGCAGCGGAGCGUGUGGUUUAAUUCGAUGCAACACGAAGAACCUUACCUGGGUACAUGACAUAGAGGGAACCGAAAGGGGACCGUUCGAGUGUCAAGGUGCUGCAUGGCUGUCGUCAGCUCGUGCCGUGAGGUGUUAGGUUAAGUCCUGCAACGAGCGCAACCCCCGUUGCCAGUUAUACUUUUCUGGCGAGACUGCCGGUAUAUCACCGGAGGAAGGUGGGGAUGAUGUCAAGUCAGCAUGGCCUUUAUAUCCAGGGCUACACACACGCUACAAUGGUCGGUACAGAGGGCAGCAAAGUCGUGAGGCGGAGCGAUCCUUAAAGCCGGUCUCAGUUCAGAUUGCAGGCUGCAACCCGCCUGCAUGAAGUUGGAGUUGCUAGUAACCGCAGGUCAGCAAUACUGCGGUGAAUACGUUCCCGGGCCUUGCACACACCCCCGUC